CGAGGACGAGAGUCGUAGCCGAUGGACAACAGGUGGAGAUUCCUGUACUGCGGUAUGACAGAACUGUGGGGACACGUAAGGAAAGCGGAAGCCGGGAAUGGAAAGCCCGGCGCAAGCGGGGUACCAGUCACUUUGGCAAAUCCGGGUGGCAAUGGGGAGCCGUGAUGCGGAGCGAAAUAAAGUAGCGAAGUCCGUGAGCCAUGCGUCAAGAAAAGCCGCUAUCGUUUAUACCGUACCCGUACCGUAAACCGACACAGGUGGAUGAGGAGAGAAUCCUAAGGCCGGCGGAAGGAGCAUUGUCAAGGAACUCGGCAAAAUGGCCCCGUAACUUAGGGAUAAGGGGUGCCUGGGAAACCAGGCCGCAGAGAAUAGGCUCAAGCAACUGUUUAGCAAAAACACAGGUCUAUGCGAAACCGAAAGGUGAGGUAUAUGGGCUGACGCCUGCCCGGUGCUGGAAGGUUAAGAGGAGAGGUUAGCGCAAGCGAAGCUUUGAAUUUAAGCCCCAGUAAACGGCGGCCGUAACAAUAACGGUCCUAAGGUAGCGAAAUUCCUUGUCGGGUAAGUUCCGACCCGCACGAAAGGCGUAAUGAUUUGAGCGCUGUCUCGACAAUGCAUCCGGUGGAAUUGAAGUACCAGUGAAGAUGCUGGUUACCUGCGCCAGGACGGAAAGACCCCAUGGAGCUUUACUCCAGUUUGGUACUGGGACUCGGUAUUGCAUGUACAGGAUAGGUGGGAGGCUAGGAGACAGUAACGCCAGUUAUUGUGGAGCCGCUGUUGGGAUACCACCCUUGCAGUAUUGGGUUUCUAACCAGCCGCCGUGACCCGGCGGUGGGACAAUGCCAGACGGGGAGUUUGACUGGGGCGGUCGCCUCCGAAAGGGUAUCGGAGGCGCCCAAAGGUUCCCUCAGAAUGGACGGAAACCAUUCGAAGAGUGCAAAGGCAGAAGGGAGCUUGACUGCGACACCGACGGGUGGAGCAGGUACGAAAGUAGGGCUUAGUGAUCCGGUGGUAUUAAGUGGGAAUGCCAUCGCUCAACGGAUAAAAGCUACCCUGGAUAACAGGCUUAUCACUCCCAAGAGUUCACAUCGACGGAGUGGUUUGGCACCUCGAUGUCGGCUCAUCGCAUCCUGGGGCUGUAGUAGGUCCCAAGGGUUGGGCUGUUCGCCCAUUAAAGCGGUACGCGAGCUGGGUUCAGAACGUCGUGAGACAGUUCGGUCCCUAUCCGGCGUGGGCGUAGGAUAUCUGAGAGGAGCUGUCCUUAGUACGAGAGGACCGGGAUGGACGGGCCGCUGGUGCAUCGGUUAGACUGCCAAGUCUACGGCCGAGUAGCCAAGCCCGGAAGGGAUAAACGCUGAAGGCAUCUAAGCGUGAAGCCCCCCUUAAGAUGAGGUAUCCCAUUCGAAAGAAGUAAACCCCCUUGAAGACGACGAGGUAGAUAGGGCAGAGGUGGAAGUGUGGCAACACAUGGAGCUGACUGUUACUAAUCGGGUGAGGGCCUGACC
rnacentral:rRNA from 1 species